rnacentral:rRNA from 1 species
UGUCAAGCUUCCAAGAAAAGCCCUAUACCCGUUAAGGCAUGAUGGCCUGUACCCGAAACCGACACAGGUGGGGUGGUAGAGAAUACCGAGGGGCGCGAGGUAACUCUCUCUAAGGAACUCGGCAAAAUGGCCCCGUAACUUCGGGAGAAGGGGUGCCACCGCAAGGUGGUCGCAGUGAAGAGGCCCAGGCGACUGUUUACCAAAAACACAGGUCUCCGCUAAGUCGCAAGACGAUGUAUGGGGGCUGACGCCUGCCCAGUGCCGGAAGGUUAAGGAAGCUGGUCAGCGCAAGCGAAGCUGGCGACUGAAGCCCCGGUGAACGGCGGCCGUAACGAUAACGGUCCUAAGGUAGCGAAAUUCCUUGUCGGGUAAGUUCCGACCCGCACGAAAGGCGUAACGAUCUGGGCGCUGUCUCGGAGAGAGGCUCGGCGAAAUAGAAUUGUCUGUGAAGAUGCGGACUACGUGCACCCGGACAGAAAGACCCUAUGAAGCUUUACUGUAGCUUGGUAUUGUGCCCAGGCUCUGAAUGCGCAGGAUAGGUGGGAGGCUUUGAUCCAUGGCUUGCGGGUCAUGGUGAGCCAACGGUGAGAUACCACUCUAUCAGAGCUAGGGUUCUAACGGUCACCCGUCAUCCGGGGACCGGACAGUAUCAGGUGGGCAGUUUGACUGGGGCGGUCGCCUCCUAAAAGGUAACGGAGGCGCGCAAAGGUUUGCUCAGGCUGGUUGGAAAUCAGCCGACGAGUGCAAAAGCAGAAGCAAGCUUGACUGUGAGACCUACAAGUCGAACAGGGACAAAAGUCGGCUUUAGUGAUCCGACGGUUCUGAGUGGAAGGGCCGUCGCUCAACGGAUAAAAGUUACUCUAGGAUAACAGGCUGAUCUCCCCCAAGAGUUCACAUCGACGGGGAGGUUUGGCACCUCGAUGUCGGCUCAUCGCAACCUGGGGCUGAAGUCGGUCCCAAGGGUUGGGCUGUUCGCCCAUUAAAGCGGUACGCGAGCUGGGUUCAGAACGUCGUGAGACAGUUCGGUCCAUAUCCGGUGCACGCGCAGGAACAUUGAGAGGAUUUCUCCCUAGUACGAGAGGACCGGGAGGAACGCACCUCUGGUGUGCCAGUUAUCGUGCCAACGGUAAACGCUGGGUAGCCAUGUGCGGAGUGGAUAACCGCUGAAAGCAUCUAAGAGGGAAGCCCACCUCAAGAUGAGUGUUCCCAUGGCAUAAGCCAGUAAGGUCACGGGAAGAACACCCGUUGAUAGGCUCUACGUGGAAGCCGGGUAACCGGUGAAGCGGAGGAGUACUAAUAGACCGAGGGCUUGACC